ensembl:lncRNA
UUAUUAGUAGAAAUCAGUCCCAUAGAAAAAAAAUACCCAUACACCUUGUGUCAAAAUUUGAUUGAUGACCCCAGCCUUGACCUUUUGACCCCUCCCCUCCCCCACCGGAAGUGUGUAAUUUGAUCCCUAAGCGUGACAAAUUGCAUCACCUUGUGUCAAAAUUUGAUUGAUGACCCUAGCCUUGACUUUUUGACCCCUCCCCUCCCCCACAGGAAGUGUGUAAUUUGAUCCAUAAUCGCGCCACCUGUUGUGAGAAAAAAAAUUAAAAAAAGUUUUUAGAGGGAGGGGGGUCUGCGGAGGGAGGAGAAUAAAAACAGAGAGGAGGGCGCACACUAUCCUAUGCACAGACGCAAGAUGGAUCCUUUCAUUCUGCAGCCCUGCGUUCCUCUGUACUUGGACGGGGAAGAGAUCUGCUCUCCCGAGGCCGUAAGCAUGGGAGGCAGCAGCGGCGAGUGGUCUUCGUCCAUUAUCAGCGACACCCCCGUCACCGUCUACAGUAACAGAUCAGAAGCAGCCGAUGCUCCGCGGAAAGAAGGGAGAAAUAAGGAGGUCUUCAUGUUCCGCAGCCAGAUACCGGCUCCGAGGAGCUUGCGGGGAGAAUGGACUCUGCCUAUUGAGGGCUGUGGAAAGUGGGGCUACAUCUUCAAAUACGAGCUGGGAGAGCUUUGGCUCUAUCAGCUUAAUGAAGGAGAAAACUUGACGGAAUCGAGCAACCUUGUGAAGCUGACUUCCUGUGACUGGGCCGUGUUGAAGCUGCUGAUUGCGCUGGUUAUCGGAGAGGCUAACGAGGAUUUUCCUAUUCCAGAAGAGGAAAAUGUUACUCCUAAAAGACGCCGGAGAGAGGAGGAUAAUCCUCCCCCUCCCCCUCCUCCUCCUUCUCCUUCCGACUCCUCUGCAGAGGAUGAUGAAAUAGAGGUUGAUGAUCCUCCUGCCACCAUCGCUGCUGAGAAUGAUGGGGAUUCCACCGUUGAAAUAGAGGUUGAUCCUCCUGCCACCAUCGCUGCUGAGAAUGAUGAGGAUGAAAUAGAGGUUGAUCCUCCUCUUCCUCGCCUCCCUGCUGAAAAAACUCCGGACAAACAGGACCCCCCUGUAGAGGAUUCCUCCUCGGAUGAGGAGGAUGAUUCUUCAUCCGAUGAGGAUGAUAAUCCUCUCCACAUCAUUACCGAAGAAGAAGAAGAAGAAGAUCAGCCCCUGGCUGAAAAACUUUCAGAAGAUGUUCACCCAGCUCCAGAAAAAAAAGAGGAGAAAGCAACCCCUGCUUCAGCGGAUGAGAAUAAAGAAAACAUCCCCCCAGCUCCUGAAAAAAAAGCUUUGGAAGAAGAAGAAGAGGAUAUUCCUCCUCCUCCUCCCCGGAACGGGGGCAUACGCUUCAAGGCCGGAGAACUAAGCAAGACUAAAAUAAUCUUGUCAACCGUCUGGUCUUCAGGAGCCACAGCCACGGGCAGAUGGAGACUGCGGGCCAGCCUGCGCUCAACGGAUGAGUCUGAUGCGCCCGACAUUUUCGUCAUGGAGAAAUUCAACCCCGACUGCGGUUUAUUUCGCAGCAUGAUGGUUUUACCCGCCAAAGAAUGGAUCGUAAGGAUGCUGCAAGUGAGGAAGGAUAUUACAAUUCUUUUUCAAAGUUGCUGCUGCUGGAGAGACGCCGUAGCGGUGAAAAAAACUCUGAGCUUCUGAAAAUCCCCGCCCAUCCCGGACCACGCCCCCUUCCUUUUGUUUUAAA